ACAACGGAGAGUUUGAUCCUGGCUCAGGAUGAACGCUGGCGGCGUGCUUAACACAUGCAAGUCGAACGAACCUUCGGGUUAGUGGCGGACGGGUGAGUAACGCGUGAGAAUCUGCCCUCAGGAGGGGGAUAACGGCUGGAAACGGCCGCUAAUACCCCAUAUGCCGAGAGGUGAAAUGAAUUUCGCCUGAGGAUGAGCUCGCGUCUGAUUAGCUAGUUGGUGGGGUAAGAGCCUACCAAGGCAUCGAUCAGUAGCUGGUCUGAGAGGAUGAUCAGCCACACUGGGACUGAGACACGGCCCAGACUCCUACGGGAGGCAGCAGUGGGGAAUUUUCCGCAAUGGGCGAAAGCCUGACGGAGCAACGCCGCGUGAGGGAUGAAGGCCUCUGGGCUGUAAACCUCUUUUAUCAAGGAAGAAGAUCUGACGGUACUUGAUGAAUAAGCCACGGCUAAUUCCGUGCCAGCAGCCGCGGUAAUACGGGAGUGGCAAGCGUUAUCCGGAAUUAUUGGGCGUAAAGCGUCCGCAGGCGGCCUGAUAAGUCUGUUGUCAAAGCGUGGAGCUUAACUCCAUUUCGGCAAUGGAAACUGUGAGGCUUGAGUGUGGUAGGGGCAGAGGGAAUUCCCGGUGUAGCGGUGAAAUGCGUAGAUAUCGGGAAGAACACCAGUGGCGAAGGCGCUCUGCUGGGCCAUAACUGACGCUCAUGGACGAAAGCCAGGGGAGCGAAAGGGAUUAGAUACCCCUGUAGUCCUGGCCGUAAACGAUGAACACUAGGUGUCGGGGGAAUCGACCCCCUCGGUGUCGUAGCCAACGCGUUAAGUGUUCCGCCUGGGGAGUACGCACGCAAGUGUGAAACUCAAAGGAAUUGACGGGGGGCCCGCACAAGCGGUGGAGUAUGUGGUUUAAUUCGAUGCAACGCGAAGAACCUUACCAGGGUUUGACAUCCUGCGAACCCCUUGGAAACGAGGGGGUGCCUUCGGGAGCGCAGAGACAGGUGGUGCAUGGCUGUCGUCAGCUCGUGUCGUGAGAUGUUGGGUUAAGUCCCGCAACGAGCGCAACCCACGUCUUUAGUUGCCAGCAUUCAGUUGGGCACUCUAGAGAGACCGCCGGUGAUAAACCGGAGGAAGGUGUGGAUGACGUCAAGUCAUCAUGCCCCUUACAUCCUGGGCUACACACGUACUACAAUGCUACGGACAAAGGGCAGCAAACUCGCGAGAGCUAGCAAAUCCCAUAAACCGUGGCUCAGUUCAGAUCGUAGGCUGCAACUCGCCUACGUGAAGGAGGAAUCGCUAGUAAUCGCAGGUCAGCAUACUGCGGUGAAUACGUUCCCGGGCCUUGUACACACCGCCCGUCACACCAUGGAAGUUGGCCACGCCCGAAGCCGUUACUCCAACCCUUGUGGAGGAGGACGUCGAAGGUGGGGCUGAUGACUGGGGUGAAGUCGUAACAAGGUAGCCGUACCGGAAGGUGCGGCUGGAUCACCUCCUAA
rnacentral:rRNA from 1 species